AUUGAACGCUGGCGGCAGGCCUAACACAUGCAAGUCGAACGAGUGGCGGACGGGUGGGUAAUGACUGGGAAACUGCCCGAGGGAGGGGGAUCACUACUGGAAACGGUAGCUCAUACCGCAUACCCUCGGAUGUGCCCAGAUGGGAUUAGCGAGUAGGUGGGGUAACGGCUCACCUAGGCGACGAUCCCUAGCUGGUCUGAGCGGAUGACCAGCCACACUGGAACUGAGACACGGUCCAGACUCCUACGGGAGGCAGCAGUGGGGAAUAUUGGACAAUGGGCGAAAGCCUGAUGCAGCCAUGCCGCGUGUAUGAAGAAGGCCUUCGGGUUGUAAAGUACUUUAAGCGGGGAGGCGUUACUCGCAGAAGAAGCACCGGCUAACUCCGUGCCAGCAGCCGCGGUAAUUC
rnacentral:rRNA from 1 species